rnacentral:rRNA from 1 species
AUUGAACGCUGGCGGCAUGCUUUACACAUGCAAGUCGAACGGUAACAGGCCGCAAGGUGCUGACGAGUGGCGAACGGGUGAGUAAUGCAUCGGAACGUGCCCAGUCGUGGGGGAUAACUACUCGAAAGAGUAGCUAAUACCGCAUACGAUCUAUGGAUGAAAGCGGGGGACCGUAAGGCCUCGCGCGAUUGGAGCGGCCGAUGUCAGAUUAGGUAGUUGGUGGGGUAAAGGCUCACCAAGCCAACGAUCUGUAGCUGGUCUGAGAGGACGACCAGCCACACUGGGACUGAGACACGGCCCAGACUCCUACGGGAAGCAGCAGUGGGGAAUUUUGGACAAUGGGCGCAAGCCUGAUCCAGCAAUGCCGCGUGCAGGAAGAAGGCCUUCGGGUUGUAAACUGCUUUUGUACGGAACGAAACGGCUCUGGUUAAUACCCGGGGCUAAUGACGGUACCGUAAGAAUAAGCACCGGCUAACUACGUG